rnacentral:rRNA from 1 species
UGGGGAAUAUUGCACAAUGGCGGGAACUCUGAUGCAGCGACGCCGCGUGAACGAAGAAGGCUUUCGAGUCGUAAAGUUCUUCUAUAUGGGAAGAUAAUGACGUUACCAUAAGAAAAAGCCCCGGCUAACUACGUGCCAGCAGCCGCGGUAAUACGUAGGGGGCUAGCGUUGUCCGGAAUCACUGGGCGUAAAGGGUUCGCAGGCGGAAAUGCAAGUCAGGUGUAAAAGGCAGUAGCUUAACUACUGUAAGCAUUUGAAACUGCAUAUCUUGAGAAGAGUAGAGGUAAGUGGGAUUUUUAGUGUAGCGGUGAAAUGCGUAGAUAUUAAAAAGAAAACCGGUGGCGAAGGCGGCUUACUGGGCUCAUUCUGACGCUGAGGAACGAAAGCGUGGGUAGCAAACAGG